AUUUGAAAAAGAUAUGUGAAAAAAUCAAUUUCAAAAUAUUGGAAACUCUCGUGUUUUACAUUUUCUCUGUUUCUUUCUUUUCUCUCUCUUUUACCCUA
rnacentral:ribozyme from 14 species